UUUAGGCAAGUAUUUUCAUGCAUAGUAAUUGAUUUCAUUACUUUUUGUAAUUUCUAUUGUCAAGCCCUUAAUUCCAUGUUUUCUACAUCGUUUCGGGUGUUUGGGUGAAGUCCAACAGUAUAGGAGUGCAAAAGGAAGCUUGGAAAGGUCAAAAGACUGAGUAUUGUUGCUAAUACAAAGUACACGGGUCGUGCAAACCAAGCCCCGGACCCGUGUAACCUUCUGCUAGAAAAAAGCCAAAUAGCCAAUGGAGAAACAAAAGUACAAGGGUCGUGUAAUUAAACCCGUGUCAUUUGUAGGGACCCGUGUAAAUCUUUGCCGGGCGCAAGCUUGAAGAACCUUAUGGGAACAAUAGUACAUGGCCCGUGUAACCAGGCCCGUGUAGUUGGCGCAGAUCCGUGUAACUCUCUGUACCAAUGCAAGACUCUGCAGCUCCACUCUAGCAAGUUACACAGACCUACAUGUUGGGACCCGUGUAGUGACACAUGGGCUGUGUACCUUGCGGCAGCCAUUUUUCAAACUCGAAUUCCAGCUCUUGUUUACGGAUUCAAAUCGGACUCCUAAGACUUUUGGGACUCAAAAUGACCUAACCCUAG
rnacentral:misc_RNA from 1 species